AUUGAACGCUGGCGGCGUGCUUAACACAUGCAAGUCGAUCGGUAACGCGGGGGCAACCCUGGCGACGAGAGGCGGACGGGUGAGGAACGCUUGGGAAUCUGCCCUUCAGCGGGGGACAACCCGGGGAAACUCGGGCUAAUACCGCAUACGCUCCACGGAGGAAAGCCGGGGACCGCAAGGCCUGGCACUGAAGGAUGAGCCCAAGCCGGAUUAGCUAGUUGGGGGGGCACAGGCCCACCAAGGGGACGAUCCGAAGCUGGUCUGAGAGGACGAUCAGCCACACCGGAAAGGAGACACGGUCCGGACUCCUACGGGAGGCAGAGGGGGGGAAUAUUGGACAAUGGGGAAACCCUGAUCCAGCGACGCCGCGUGGGUGAAGAAGGCCUGCGGGUUGUAAAGCCCUUUCGGUAGGGACGAAAGCUCUUGCCUUAACACGGCAGGAGGUUGACUUAACCUACAUAAGAAGCACCGGCUAACUCUGUGCCAGCCGCCGCCGUAAUAC
rnacentral:rRNA from 1 species